rnacentral:piRNA from 1 species
UACGGCCAUGUGUGUAUUUGGAUCUGU